GGCGGCGGGGGAAGAGGAGGAGGAGGAAGGAGCUGCGCGGAGCGGAGCGGCGGCGGCGGCCCCUUCCCGCGGGUGCCCGGCCCCGCUGUGUCCCCCGUGUCCCCACGUGCAGACUCCCCCACGUUGCUCUCCAGAAGCAUUUCAAACUCGACACACAGAAGCUGUUUCUCCAUGAGCAGCUGUGGGGCAUUUGGCUGGUGGUUUCGACAGCAGGCAGCAGAGAUGAAUCGAGGACGUGGCAUCCGCAGUCAUGACCUGGAAUUUGAACUCUUUGGUGCCUCUCCCUCCUCCCAGAGGGAUGGAGGGGAGGCGGAAGAUCUCAGGAUCUUCUGAUUGCCAUCGAUCCAGCUGAUUUGCUGAGCACUGGCCUCGUAUUGUGUCUGUAUGCUCUUUGAGAGAUGAUUUCAGUCUGAAAAAAAGCCUGCUUUUUUUACCAUCUGUGUGCAGAAUCUCCAGCAGAAAUUCCAAGAUCUGGAGUGAUUUGGUCCCAUGCCAUGAGAACGAUCUGCUCUGCACACCUUAGGCCGUGCAAAAAGGAGAAAGAGAAGAAGGCAAAGCUUUCUGUGAGCUCUCUGUGAGCCUGAUCACUCAUCAAAGGCAGCUGCCUCCUGUGCUGACCUGAGGACGUGACAGAUGUCUGUAGCCUUUACAGGUGCAGGGCCUGCAUUUCAUCAGUCUUUUUUCCUUGGGUGACUUGGAGCAUGGAUUAUUAGCAGCUCGGAUUUCUUUGGCCAUGGUGCUUUGUUGUGUACACAUCCGGGUUAAAUCUAAGCAAUAAUUCUGAUCCAUGUAGGCUUCUGACUUGGUUCUGCGUCUUCAGUGUUUACAAAAUGAUCAACAUUUGAACUCUCCUGUUCUUUUCCUUAAAUGUCAGCAGAAACUUUUUUUUUUUUUAAUAAACAAUGCAGUCUCCCCCUGCAAUGUCUGUAACCAAGAAACUGUGGCAUCACCAGAGCAUGAGGAAAUAUUGCUGAUUAAAACCAGGGAGAUGGAGGAGCACAAGUCUGA